UACGAAGGGGGCUAGCGUUGCUCGGAAUCACUGGGCGUAAAGCGCACGUAGGCGGAUUUGUAAGUCAGGGGUGAAAUCCCGGGGCUCAACCUCGGAACUGCCUUUGAUACUGCAAAUCUCGAGUCCGGAAGAGGUGAGUGGAAUUCCUAGUGUAGAGGUGAAAUUCGUAGAUAUUAGGAAGAACACCAGUGGCGAAGGCGGCUCACUGGUCCGGUACUGACGCUGAGACGCGAAAGCGUGGGGAGCCAACAGG
rnacentral:rRNA from 1 species